GCUUGCAGAGUGCGGAUGAGUGGCGAACGGGUGAGUAACACGUGGGAAAUCUGCCUAGGAGUGGGGGAUAACAUUCGGAAACGGAUGCUAAUACCGCAUAUCUUUUUGAACCGCAUGGUUCUUAAACGAAAGACGGCUUCGGCUGUCGCUCUUAGAUGAUCCCGCGGCGUAUUAGUUAGUUGGUGGGGUAAAGGCCUACCAAGACCAUGAUACGUAGCCGACCUGAGAGGGUGAUCGGCCACACUGGGACUGAGACACGGCCCAGACUCCUACGGGAGGCAGCAGUAGGGAAUCUUCCACAAUGGGUGCAAACCCGAUGGAGCAAUGCCGCGUGAAUGAAGAAGGUCUUCGGAUCGUAAAGUUCUGUUAUUAGUGAAGAACAAAUCGAGGAGUAACUGUCUCGAUUUUGACGGUACCUAACCAGAAAGUCACGGCUAACUACGUGCCAGCAGCCGCGGUAAUACGUAGGUGACAAGCGUUGUCCGGAAUUAUUGGGCGUAAAGGGAGCGCAGGCGGUUGGAAUAGUCUGAUGUGAAAGCCCACGGCUUAACCGUGGAAGGUCAUUGGAAACUGUCCAACUUGAAUACAGAAGAGGUAAGUGGAAUUCCAAGUGUAGCGGUGAAAUGCGUAGAUAUUUGGAGGAACACCAGUGGCGAAGGCGACUUACUGGUCUGUAAUUGACGCUGAGGCUCGAAAGCGUGGGUAGCAAACAGGAUUAGAUACCCUGGUAGUCCACGCCGUAAACGAUGAGUGCUAAGUGUUAGGGGGUUUCCGCCCCUUAGUGCUGGAGUUAACGC
rnacentral:rRNA from 1 species